rnacentral:rRNA from 1 species
AGUCGAGCGGACUUGAUGAGAAGCUUGCUUCUCUGAUGAGUUAGCGGCGGACGGGUGAGUAACACGUAGGCAACCUGCCUGUAAGAUCGGGAUAACUACCGGAAACGGUAAGAUAAGACCGGAUAACCGGUUUCUCCGCAUGGGGAGAUCGUGAAACACGGAGCAAUCUGUGGCUUACGGAUGGGCCUGCGGCGCAUUAGCUAGUUGGUGAGGUAACGGCUCACCAAGGCGACGAUGCGUAGCCGACCUGAGAGGGUGAACGGCCACACUGGGACUGAGACACGGCCCAGACUCCUACGGGAGGCAGCAGUAGGGAAUCUUCCGCAAUGGACGCAAGUCUGACGGAGCAACGCCGCGUGAGUGAUGAAGGUUUUCGGAUCGUAAAGCUCUGUUGCCAGGGAAGAACGCCAAGGAGAGUAACUGCUCUUUGGGUGACGGUACCUGAGAAGAAAGCCCCGGCUAACUACGUGCCAGCAGCCGCGGUAAUACGUAGGGGGCAAGCGUUGUCCGGAAUUAUUGGGCGUAAAGCGCGCGCAGGCGGUUUUUUAAGUCUGGUGUUUAAUCCCGAGGCUCAACCUCGGUUCGCACCGGAAACUGGGAGACUGGAGUGCAGGAGAGGAAAGUGGAAUUCCACGUGUAGCGGUGAAAUGCGUAGAGAUGUGGAGGAACACCAGUGGCGAAGGCGACUUUCUGGCCUGUAACUGACGCUGAGGCG